rnacentral:rRNA from 1 species
AUUGUGCCAGCGGCCGCGGUAAUACGUAGGGUGCGAGCGUUAAUCGGAAUUACUGGGCGUAAAGGGUGCGCAGGCGGUUUUGUAAGUCAGAUGUGAAAUCCCCGGGCUUAACCUGGGAAUUGCGUUUGAAACUACAAAACUAGAGUGUAGCAGAGGGAGGUGGAAUUCCAUGUGUAGCAGUGAAAUGCGUAGAGAUAUGGAAGAACAUCGAUGGCGAAGGCAGCCUCCUGGGUUAACACUGACGCUCAUGCACGAAAGCGUGGGGAGCAAACAGGAUUAGAUACCCUGGUAGUCCACGCCCUAAACGAUGGGGACUAGGUGCUUGGGGGAGCGACCCCCCGAGUGCCGGCGCUAACGCAUUAAGUCCCCCGCCUGGGGAGUACGGCCGCAAGGCUGAAACUCAAAGGAAUUGACGGGGGCCCGCACAAGCGGAGGAGCAUGUGGUUUAAUUCGAUGAUACGCGAGGAACCUUACCUGGGCUAGAACGUAGAGAGACUAUAGGAGAAACCUUAUAUCCCUUCGGGGCUGUCUACGAGGUGCUGCAUGGUUGUCGUCAGCUCGUGCCGUGAGGUGUCGGGUUAAGUCCCAUAACGAGCGCAACCCCUAUCUUUAGUUGCCAACAGGUCAAGCUGGGGACUCUAAAGAAACUGCCUACGCAAGUAGUGAGGAAGGCGGGGAUGACGUCAAAUCAGCACGGCCCUUACGUCCAGGGCUACACACGUGCUACAAUGGCCGAUACAGAGGGCAGCUACCUGGUGACAGGAUGCAAAUCUCCAAAGUCGGUCUCAGUUCGGAUCGGAGUCUGCAACCCGACUCCGUGAAGUUGGAUUCGCUAGUAAUCGCGCAUCAGCCAUGGCGCGGUGAAUACGUUCCCGGGCCUUGUACACACCGCCCGUCAAGCCAUGGAAGUUGGGGGGACCUAAAGUCGAUAACCGCAAGGAGUCGCCUAGGGUAAAACCAAUGACUGGGGCUAAGUCGUAACAAGGUAACCAAU